GCCGCCGCCGCCACAGCCUGCUGCUCCAACAGCUCCUGAAUCCUAUCGAACCGUCCAGUGAGCGCCGCAACUUGCGCUCGCAACUCCUGCACCUCAGUAGGCCCAGCUGGCACUGGCGCCACUGGAGGCACGGCUGUCUCGGGCACCUCUCGGGGUGAUGCCGGAGCGGUCCUACGCACGUAACGUCUCUUUGGUGCCAUAGCUCCUGAAACGCAAACCGUUGGUUAAUUACUUGACUUAACAACGUCAUCGUAAUUGCGAAACAUAACGAUUAAACGACAUAAAUCAGGCGGUAAGCUUGCAAGUGUAUUAGUUCUCAACUCUCGGCAUCGU
rnacentral:lncRNA from 1 species